rnacentral:rRNA from 1 species
UCAUUAGAGGAAGUAAAAGUCGUAACAAGGUCUCCGUAGGUGAACCUGCGGAGGGAUCAUUACACCACCAAAUAUGAAGGCCUUGGCUUCACGGCCGGCUGAAAAUUUUUUUUCACCCAUGUCUUUUGCGCACUUGUUGUUUCCUGGGCGGGUUCGCCCGCCACCAGGACCAAACCAUAAACCUUUUUUUUUUUAUGCAGUUGCAAUCAGCGUCAGUAAAAACAAUGUAAUAAUUUACAACUUUCAACAACGGAUCUCUUGGUUCUGGCAUCGAUGAAGAACGCAGCGAAAUGCGAUACGUAGUGUGAAUUGCAGAAUUCAGUGAAUCAUCGAAUCUUUGAACGCACAUUGCGCCCUUUGGUAUUCCAAAGGGCAUGCCUGUUCGAGCGUCAUUUGUACCUUCAAGCUUUGCUUGGUGUUGGGCGUUUUUUUGUCUCCCUCUUUCUGGGAGACUCGCCUUAAAACGAUUGGCAGCCGGCCUACUGGUUUCGGAGCGCAGCACAUAAAUUUGCACUUUGUAUCAGGAGAAAAGGACGGUAAUCCAUCAAGACUCUACAAUUUUUAACUUUUGACCUCGGAUCAGGUAGGGAUACCCGCUGAACUUAAGCAUAUCAAUAGGG